rnacentral:lncRNA from 1 species
GAAAGUUUUUUCUCAAAAGCCUUAAGAUAGAACAUAGUUCUUGGCAGCAAUUUGAAAGUUAUUUGAGGAGAAGGGGAGACUUACAAUGAUGAUUCAAAUGAAGGAAACUAAAAAGUAAUGAAGCAAGGCAGAGGAAAAAGCAGUACUCACUUGAGCACAUCCCAAAAGAAUAACAUUUCAAAUGUAACUAGAAAAAAGUAUGCUGAAGUUCGCAAUACAGAAAUAAUUAUUAAUAAGAUAGCUUUAAAGCCCUGCUCAGCUUUUGAAUGUUGGGAAUUGACCCAGAGGUGGCUGUAACCUAAGAUGGUUCCUUCAGUAAUGACCAUUUUUUCUUUUUCAAGAUGAUGAUUAUUCCCCACCUUCUAAGAGACAAAGACCAACGAGCCACCACAGCCACCAGUCCCAGAACCCGCCAAUGCUGGGGAACGGAAAAUGAGGGAGUUCAACUCUGGCCCUCACAAUCCAGUGGAGGAGACGCAACUCAUCUGCCUCUGUCCCUCUGGGCACGCCUCAUGCCAGGUGCAUCUGUGGACAGGGGCCAUGCUCCUGGGCUUCCAAAGUUGGAGAAAGCUGCCAGGCUCAGGUCUGAAGGCCAGAAUUCUACAGUAAGUCCUACUGAGUCAAGGUGGGAGCAGGGUCGGUAGCUUCCGAGGCUCUGCGGGAGAAUCUGUUUCCUGGCCGUAGAGGUGGCCUGCACUCCUCAGCCUGUGCUGCCCGUCUCGAAUGACUGGAGUUUCCUGCUUCUGUCACUACACCUCCCACCCUCUCCAUCACCUGCUCUGCUCUUACAAGGAUCCGAAGAAAUGGAAUCAUCGUAUCGCUGAUCUACGUAAACAAACUGAAGAAUUGUCUGAAAGAAAAUAUGACAUGAACUUAUGAAUUCAACAGGUGAAGAUUUACAACUUGAUAAAUCAACUUUGUCAGCUCGAGCUGUAAAAGCCAAAGGUCCGGUGAUGAUCCCAUACCCUUUUUUCCAGUCUCAUGUUGAAGAUUUUUAUGUAGAAGGCCUUCCCAAAGGAAUUUUUUUUUUUUUUUUUUGAGAUGGAGUUUUCACUCUUAUCGCCCAGGCUGGGGUGCAAUGGCGCAACCUUGCUGGUCACUGCAACCUCUGCCUCCUGGGUUCAAGAAAUUCUCCUGCCUUAGCCUCCCAAGUCACUGGGAUUACAGGUGCCCACCACCACACCAGGCUAAUUUUUGUAUUUUUAGUGGAGAUGCGGUUUCACCAUGUUGGCCGGGCCAGUCUCGAACUCCUGACGUCAAGUGAUCUUCCCGCCUCGACUCCUGAUAUCAAGUGAUCUUCCCGCCUCGGCCUCCCAGAGUGCUGAGAUUACAGACGUGAACCCAUGCCUGGCCAGGAAUUUUGUUUUUUAGGAAGGCUUUCUACUAAUGGAAUUCCUGGCCUUGAGAGGAUGUUACUUUAGAAGGAAAGGAUUUUUUUGUUAUUAAAAGGUAAGAUUCCUGGAUUCUUAUUGGACCGUUAUCUCUGUUAUGAGUAAUCCAUCUUUAGUCAUUCACCACUAGGGUUGUAUUUAAUUAAGUCUGAGUUAUUUUAUGGUGAUUUUGUUUUGUUUUGUUUUGUUUUUACCGAAUUUUGUUCUCAUUGCCGUGGCUUGAGGGCAAUGACGUGAUCUCAGGUCACCACAUUCUCUGCCUUCCAGGUUCAAGCGAUUCUCCUGCCUCAGCCUCCUGAGUAGCUGGGAUUACAGGCAUAUGCCACCAUGCCUGGUUAAUUUUUGUAUUUUUAGUAGAAACGUGGUUUCACCAUGUUGAUCAGGCUGGUCUCGAACUCCUGAUCUCGUGAUCUACCCGCCUUGGCCUCCCAAAGUGCUUGAUUACAGCUGUGAGCCAUGUGCCCAGCCUAUUUGUCACAUAUUUUAUCUUUCCUUAUGUUAGCUUAUUAGCUUUAUUUCUUUAUUGUCCUUUUUUUUUUUUUGAGAUGAAGUCUCGCUCUGUCUCCUAGGCUUCAGUGUAGUGGCACAGUCUCAACUCACUGCAGCCUUGACCUCCUAGGCUCAGGUGAUCCUUCCACCUCAGUAGUUGGGACUAUAGGCACAUGCCACUAUGCCUGGCCAAUUAUUUUUAUUUUUUUAUUUUUACUAGAGAGGAGGUCUUGCUUUGUUUCUUAGGCUGGUCUGGAACUCCUGGCCUCAAGCAAUCCCCCCACCACCCCCUCCCAAAGUACUGGUAUUAUAAGCAUGAGCCACCAUGCCUGGGGUAUCUGUGUCUUUUCCAUUUAUUUAUAGAGUUACUUUGUCUUUUACUAAUUCAAUGAUCUGUUUAAUCUUUUAUUAAAUUAUAAAAAUGAUAAAUACUUUUAAAUAAGUGAAAAAUGUCCUUCACUCUUUAGACCCAUAAUCUUAUCUCAGGAAAUAAUUGCAGUUGAGAAAAUGGGCCAUAUCCUUCAAGAUACGUACAUGGUGAUUGAACAUCACUUCAUAUUUUCAUAUUUCGUGGACAUUUGUGCCAAUACCUAUUGAUCUAUCUUAAUCCUUUUUAUGGUUGCAUAAUAUUUUAUUAUAUGGAUGUAUCACAAUUUACCAGUACCAGUCAACUGCUGGAGGCAUUUAGGCUCCUUCUAAUAUUUGCUUUGAGCUCUUUAUAUAAUUAAAAAUUAACCCCCUCAGCCAGGUGUGGCAGCUCACACCUGUAAUCCCAGCAUUUUGGAAGGCUGAGGUGAGAGAACUGCCUGAGUGUAGGAGAUCACCACCAACCUGGUCAACAUAGUGACACUUUGUCUCUACUAAAAAUUAAAAAAAAAAAUGAGCUACACGUUGCAGUGCACACCUGUAGUCCGAGCUACUGGGGAGGCUAAGACUGGAGGAUCACUUGAGUCUAGAAGGUUGAGGCUGCAGUAAGCUAUGAUCACACCAUUGCACUUUAGCUUUGCUAAGAGCAAGACUGCAUUUCUUAAACAAAAUAAAAAUUAGAUGGGAAUAUUGCUCAAGCCCUGGAGGUUGAGGCUGCAGUUAACUGUGAUUGCACCACUGCAGUCCAGCCUAGGUGAUAGAGCAAGACCCUUUCUCUAAAAAUAAAAUAAAAUAAAAAUUAACCUUCUAUCAUAUUUCCCAGUAACACCUUCCCUCCUACAUUUCUCCUAGAAGCCCUUAAAUUUUGUUUUUCACAUAUCGUUUAAAACUUUUAAGUGCUGAUGUCUGUCUGUGUCAUCCCUCUUUUUUUUUUUUUAAAUGUCUUUUUGUCACUUCUAGCUGGACCUACCAUGAAAGACUUCUGAAUCCAGGAAGAGAAACUGACUGGGCAACAUGUUAUUCAGGUACAAAAAGACUUGGACUGUAACUCAAAAAUGAUCAAAUAAUAGUGCAUGCAUCAAGUGCAAUCGGAAGCUCUUCUGGAGAGGGAGAGAAGCUUCCAGUUAAGGUGACAUUGAAGCCAAGUCCUGUAAGAUAAGGAAGAGUUGUAUGAGAGUGGGGAGGGAAGGGGGAGGUGGAGGGAUGGGGAUUGGGCUGGGAUGGGAUGGAGUGAGCUG